AUUAUAAGCACAUAAUUAUAGGCGAAACAAAAAUUUUUAGGUGGUUUUAUGUGUUGCAACGAUGAAAAGACAACCAACUCAGCAAUAAGCUGCGGAGUACCCUCAGUGCUGCAGCAGCAGCGCUGCGCGGCUAAUAUUCUGUUGGUACCUUGUAAAAAAAAUAAAAAUUAACCUCGAACUCUUAGUAAUUUUUUAAGGGCAUAGUAGAUGGAUAAAAUAGAGGAGAAAAGAGAAAGGCGAAAACCGAAGAAUAACUACAUGGAACAGAUAAUGGAAACAUUAGGUGUCACGUCGUAUAGGAAGGUCAAAGAUAUGGUCUGGGGUAGAGCUGGCUGGAAGAAAAUGCAUGAAUUAGUUGCACUGAUAACAGGAAACUCUUAAAUGAAAAGAGAGAAUGUUAUGUACAGUUCCUAACCUCUUGUAGUCUUGCGAAAAAUUAAAAAUGAGUUUAGUGCAGAUAUAGUAUAAGUUACAGUAAAGUGGCAUUUCAAACAAAGUAAGGCGUCAGAAACGUAUAACAAAUUAGCAAGAUCAUUAAAAAAGUCGGAACAUUCAUGAGAAAGGCGACAGGUCAAUCCUCAUCUCGUGUUGUUACUAGGGCUGUCAAAAUUCCAAAAAAAUAUUAUUUAUAACUUAAAAAUAACAAUAAAUUACGAAGCCCUGCUGAUGGCAAGUCGCAGAUUCAUUGGGGGCAAACGAGCAUGCGGCUCACCUGAUGGUAAGUGACUACCGCCGCCUAUGGUCACCCACAACACCUACGGCAUUGCAGGUGUGCUGCCUGCCUGUUAUAUGGUAUAAACAUCACCUUUUGCUGUUUUAUACAAUGUCAUUUUAUAUUAAAUUAUAAAUGUCUAAAAUAUUAACGAAAUAAAUAAAAUAAUAUUAAAUAUUAAUGUCAUAAUGCAUAAAUAUAUGAAUAAUUUGUUUACA